rnacentral:snRNA from 1 species
GGAUGAUCUGGUGAUCUCUCUGGGACAUCCACUACUCUGAUUGCCAGACUUAAUUCUGCUGACUUAGCUAGCAGGUGUCCUGGUCACUCCACAUUCAUCCAUUUUGAAGAUGUGAAUUCAGUGGAAGAGGAGGACCAUCUCCCCUGGAAGAGGACAAGUCUUGGGUCAUGAGUAUAUGAUUAGCUUGGCUCUCCUGAUGGAACUUCCAAAUAAGCUAUCAAAUGACUGUCAUGAUUCAAACUUAGUCAUUAUGGAAGGCUCAAUAUUUCUCACAUUUCCAGUUUUGCUUUUUGUGUGUUGUAUGCAUGGUGUAUGUAAAUAUGCUCAU